CAGGAUGGACCCGCGUCUGAUUAGCUAGUUGGUAAGGUAACGGCUUACCAAGGCGACGAUCAGUAGCCGACCUGAGAGGGUGAUCGGCCACAUUGGAACUGAGACACGGUCCAAACUCCUACGGGAGGCAGCAGUGGGGAAUAUUGCACAAUGGGCGAAAGCCUGAUGCAGCAACGCCGCGUGAGUGAUGAAGGCCUUCGGGUCGUAAAACUCUGUCCUCAAGGAAGAUAAUGACGGUACUUGAGGAGGAAGCCCCGGCUAACUACGUGCCAGCAGCCGCGGUAAUACGUAGGGGGCUAGCGUUAUCCGGAUUUACUGGGCGUAAAGGGUGCGUAGGCGGUCUUUCAAGUCAGGAGUGAAAGGCUACGGCUCAACCGUAGUAAGCUCUUGAAACUGGGAGACUUGAGUGCAGGAGAGGAGAGUGGAAUUCCUAGUGUAGCGGUGAAAUGCGUAGAUAUUAGGAGGAACACCAGUUGCGAAGGCGGCUCUCUGGACUGUAACUGACGCUGAGGCACGAAAGCGUGGGGAGCAAACAGGAUUAGAUACCCUGGUAGUCCACGCUGUAAACGAUGAG
rnacentral:rRNA from 1 species